CCCAGCGUGGUGUAGUGGUUUGAGUGUUGGACUACGACUCUAGAGAUCCGGGUUCGAUUCCCACUUGGCC